GGAUUAUGGUGGAAAAACGGCUCUGGAUGGAGUUUGGAUUUGGGUUUGGAGGCAUCUCAAGGGGUUUGGGGAACAGGGAUGGACGUGGGGUGGGUGGAGAUGGAGCCGUCCUGGAUUUUCAUGGAUUGGGAGGCUCCUGGUGGAUGAUCCAGGAAAAAAAUUGGGAUUACAGCAGAAAAACAUCUCCAGAAUGGAGCUGGGAUUGGGUUUGGAGACAUCUCAAGGGGUUUGAGGAACAGGUUGGACGUGGGGUGGGUGGAGCUGGAGCCAUCCCGGAUGUUCAUGGUUUAGGAGGCUCCUGGUGGAUGCCGGAUGUUGAUCCAGGAAAAAAAAUUGGGAUUAUGGUGGAAAAACGGCUCCCAACGGAGCUGGGAUGGGUUUGGAGGCAUCUCAAGGGGUUUGAGGAGCAGGGAUGGACGUGGGGUGGGUGGAGAUGGAGCCGUCCUGGAUUUUCAUGGAUUGGGAGGCUCCUGGUGGAUGAUCCAGGCAAAAAAAUGUGGAUUACAGCAGAAAAACUUCUCCAGAAUGGAGCUGGGAUGGGGUUUGGAGGCAUCUCAAGGGCUUUGAGGAACAGGGAUGGACGUGGGGUGGGUGGACCUGGAGCCAUCCUGGAUUUUUGUGCAUUGGGAGGUUCCUGGUGGGUGCUGGGCACUGAUCCAGGAAAAAAACCUGGGAUUAUGGUGGAAAAACGGCUCUGGAUGGAGUUUGGAUUUGGGUUUGGAGGCAUCUCAAGGGCUUUGAGGAGCAGGGAUGGACGUGGGGUGGGUGGAGAUGGAGCCAUCCUGGAUUUUUGUGCAUUGGGAGGCUCCUGGUGGGUGCCAGAUGUUGAUCCAGGAAAAAAACCUGAGAUUAUGGUGGAAAAACGGCUCUGAAGAAAUCUGGGAUGGGGUUUGGAGGCAUCUCAAGGGCUUUGGGGAACAGGUUGGACGUGGGGUGGGUGGAGGUGGAGCCAUCCUGGAUUUUCAUGGAUUGGGAGGUUCCUGGUGGAUGAUCCAGGAAAAAAAUGUGGAUUACAGCAGAAAAACAUCUCCAGAAUGGAGCUGGAAUGGGGUUUGGAGGCAUCUCAAGGGGUUUGAGGAGCAGGUUGGACGUGGGGUGGGUGGAGAUGGAGCCAUCCUGGAUUUUCAUGGAUUGGGAGGCUCCUGGUGGAUGUCGAGUGUUGAUCCAGGAAAAAAACCUGGGAUUAUGGUGGAAAAACAGCUCUGAAGAACUCUGGGAUGGGGUUUGGAGGCAUCUCAGGGGGUUUGAGGAGCAGGGUUGGACGUGGGGUGGGUGGAGCUGGAGCCAUCC
rnacentral:lncRNA from 1 species